AACUUGCACGUGAUAUGGAUGCCGAAAUUUUUAUUCCGCUUCUUUUGCAACGACCUGUGUUGUGGAACAAAUUCGGUGAUGCAAGUUUCUGCACGAAGGGAAGCAAUGGUCGCAGGCGCACGAGAUCAUGAAGCAUAUUGCCGUGGACUGUGCUAUCAACGAUUCGUUACUAGACAAGUUCGAUGAUGUCAAACAAAUCUCAAACUGGUUCAUCAAGGGGCAUAUUUUGAGCGACUUUAUCGAGACUUUAUGAGGACACAGUUUGUCCUGACUCGGAACGCGAUCGACGACGAGACGGCCGAGGCUCGGCUCGAGGAACUCAAGCCCAAAAUGUCCGAUCUGUGAUCGGUGAUCGAAAUGCCCGACACCGAAGCAUCGGUUCUGUCAGAACAAAAUCACCCAAAUCUCAAAUCAAAAUAUCUGAGUCAGACAUUCUUUGCCCAAGAUCCGCGUAUAAAUAGCUGUGCGUUGAUUCGCAAUGCGCUCGAGUAGCUACCGCUGCCCCAGAAGUACGUGCUCGAGGAAUUGCGGCAUAUGCUGAGCCCGUUUCUGGACGAGGAAGCAUCAAUGGGAUAACAUUUGAAGGAAUCAUGAUGUUAUUUUUAG